AUGGAGUCUUGCUCUGUCAUCAAGCUAGAGUACAGUGGCAUGAUCUCAGCUCACUGCAACCUCCACCACCUGGGUUCAAGUGAUUCCCCUGCUUCAGCCUCCUGAGUAGCUGGUACUACAGGCACACACCACCAUGCCUGGGAACCCCAAGCACUGGUUUCCCAAGAGAUAUCUGUAUCCUGCACCCAUCAUAGGAGCGAACUGGCCCAUUCUAAUAUGUUCCCCUGCCCAAAUGCAGAGAAGCAUGGAGGAGCAGUUCAAAUCAGUGGAAUUGCUGGCUCAGACUUCACAUGAUCAGGAUAAACAAACCUCCAGCCAGGGUGUGGGAAAUCCAUCUGCUACAGGCACAAGCAGAAACUGGAGUGAAGCUUGUAAAAGAGGGCGGCUGCCGUAAGGCAUAGAGAAACUUACGACAGAAUUGGACGGCAAGAAAAAUUUUGAGACAAAGUCAGUAAACGCCAUCUGUGUAAGCCAAGAGUCAUCCCAAAAUUUGGGAGCCACUAAGAAAGACGGGGAGAGGAGGACAAGAGCGGGGAAGAAGCUUAGGAAACAGGCCGUGUGCUCUUAAGGUGGACUGAGAAAUCAUAUCUUUUCCACACAGUUGGAUGAUCAGCUGAAAGGAUAGGUCAGCUACAAGCCAUCCCUUUAAUACUCU
rnacentral:lncRNA from 1 species